GAUGAAGAACGUAGCGAAAUGCGAUAAGUAAUGCGAAUUGCAGAAUUUCCGUGAGUCAUCGAAUCUUUGAACGCACAUUGCGCCCAUUGGCAUUCCGAUGGGCAUGCCUGUUCGAGCGUCAUUAUCCUCCCUCAAACCCCUGGGUUUGGUGUUGGACUGUGUGGUGCCUGGCACCACUGGUCUCAAAGACAAUGACGGCGUCCGUGGGACCCUCGGUGCAACGAGCUUUUCGAAGCACGCGUCGAGUGGACAGUCUCUCCGGGCCGGUCACCUCUCCAAUUUUUCUCAGGUUGCCCUCGGAUCAGGUAGGAAUACCCGCUGAACUUAAGCAUAUCAAUAAGCGGAGGA
rnacentral:misc_RNA from 1 species